AUUGAACGCUGGCGGCAGGCUUAACACAUGCAAGUCGAGCGGGGACUUCGGUCCUAGCGGCGAACGGGUGAGGAAUGCUUGGGAAUCUGCCCAGUAGCGGGGGAUAACGUUUCGAAAGGAACGCUAAUACCGCAUACGCCCUACGGGGGAAAGGGGGGGAUCUUCGGACCUCUCACUAUUGGAUGAGCCCAAGUCGGAUUAGCUAGUUGGUGGGGUAAAGGCCUACCAAGGCGACGAUCCGUAGCUGGUCUGAGAGGAUGAUCAGCCACACUGGAACUGAGACACGGUCCGGACUCCUACGGGAGUCAGCAGUGGGGAAUAUUGGACAAUGGGCGAAAGCCUGAUCCAGCCAUGCCGCGUGUGUGAAGAAGGCCUUCGGGUUGUAAAGCACUUUAAGCGAGGAGGAAUGGCUGAGGGUUAAUAACCUUCAGCAGUGACGUUACUCGCAGAAUAAGCACCGGCUAACUCUGUGCCAGCAGCCGCAGUAAAAC
rnacentral:rRNA from 1 species